rnacentral:tRNA from 1 species
UCCCUUGUGGUCUAGUGGUGAAGACUCCGCAUUUCCAAUGUGGCUUGGGUUCCAUUCCUGCUUGGGGAA